rnacentral:tRNA from 1 species
AGCCCCGUAGUGAAUGACACGUCGAACUGCAAAUUCGAAAACGCUUCCAUUAUUGGUGCCGGGGCUUC